GGCCUGGUAGCUUAGUGGUUUAAAGCGCCUGCCUGUCACGCAGGAGAUCGUGGGUUCAAAUCCCAUCCGGGUCG
rnacentral:tRNA from 1 species